rnacentral:rRNA from 1 species
UGGGGAAUUUUGGACAAUGGGCGCAAGCCUGAUCCAGCCAUGCCGCGUGCGGGAAGAAGGCCUUCGGGUUGUAAACCGCUUUUGUCAGGGAAGAAAUCUUCUGAGUUAAUACCUCGGGAGGAUGACGGUACCUGAAGAAUAAGCACCGGCUAACUACGUGCCAGCAGCCGCGGUAAUACGUAGGGUGCAAGCGUUAAUCGGAAUUACUGGGCGUAAAGCGUGCGCAGGCGGUUUUGUAAGACAGAGGUGAAAUCCCCGGGCUCAACCUGGGAACUGCCUUUGUGACUGCAAGGCUUGAGUGCGGCAGAGGGGGAUGGAAUUCCGCGUGUAGCAGUGAAAUGCGUAGAUAUGCGGAGGAACACCGAUGGCGAAGGCAAUCCCCUGGGCCUGCACUGACGCUCAUGCACGAAAGCGUGGGGAGCAAACAGGAUUAGAUACCCCUGGUAGUCCACGCCCUAAACGAUGUCAACUGGUUGUUGGGAAGGUUCCUUCUCAGUAACGUAGCUAACGCGUGAAGUUGACCGCCUGGGGAGUACGGCCGCAAGGUUGAAACUUAAAUGAAUUGACGGGGUCAUAGCUGUUU